GCUUUAGUUGUUCAGUGGUAGAAUUCCCACCUUCCAUGUGGGAGACCUGGGUUUGAUUCCCAGACGAUGCA
rnacentral:tRNA from 1 species